GACGAAGGGGGCUAGCGUUGUUCGGAAUUACUGGGCGUAAAGCGCGUGUAGGCGGUUGCCAAAGUCGGGUGUGAAAGCCUUGAGCUCAACUCAAGAAAUGCACUCGGUACUGGGCGACUAGAGGACCGGAGAGGAUAGUGGAAUUCCCAGUGUAGUGGUGAAAUACGUAGAGAUUGGGAAGAACACCAGUGGCGAAGGCGGCUAUCUGGACGGUUUCUGACGCUAAGACGCGAAAGCGUGGGGAGCAAACAGG
rnacentral:rRNA from 1 species